rnacentral:rRNA from 1 species
UACGAAGGGGGCGAGCGUUGUUCGGAUUUACUGGGCGUAAAGGGCGCGCAGGCGGCUUAUUUUGUCAAGCGUGAAAGCCCCGGGCUUAACCUGGGAACUGCGUUUGAUACGGAUGGGCUAGAGUUCGGGAGAGGAGAGUGGAAUUCCCAGUGUAGAGGUGAAAUUCGUAGAUAUUGGGAAGAACACCGGUGGCGAAGGCGGCUCUCUGGACCGAGACUGACGCUGAGGCGCGAAAGCGUGGGGAGCAAACAGG